UACGUAGGGGGGCAAGCGUUGUCCGGAAUCAUUGGGCGUAAAGCGCGUGUAGGCGGCUCGAUAAGUCUGCUGUGAAAGUCCAGGGCUCAACCCCUGGGAUGCCGGUGGAUACUGUCGAGCUCGAGUCCGGAAGAGGCGAGUGGAAUUCCUGGUGUAGCGGUGAAAUGCGCAGAUAUCAGGAGGAACACCAAUGGCGAAGGCAGCUCGCUGGGACGUGACUGACGCUGAGACGCGAAAGCGUGGGGAGCAAACAGG
rnacentral:rRNA from 1 species